CCAACCAGUCUUAGGACUGAUGACCUUAUGAUGAUUAACCGCUUAUUAAAACGCUGUAUUAAAAUACAGAUUGCAGUUUUGAAUUAAAUUUAUUUUGUGUACAAGCACAAAACAUUUUCUUUUUUUGGUACAAAGUCAACCUUUCUUUUUGGCGUUCAAUCUUAAGCUGUGGUAAAAACUCAAAGUUAAAUUAUGUCCAGUACCGUCGCCAUUCGUCACUCUCGGUUCCUUAGUUAGGGUCAGUUCGUGACGGUACGGUGCGACUUCUUAAAAACUACGUAAGGCAACCCUCUGCAUGCUGUUAAAAAAUAUUUCUCUGUCUUACAAUUUUUCCUGCACUUUCUCUUUCCAAGAAAAGGUUUCAAGAACGUUAAUGGUGUGAUGAUCACGUGUAAACUGCAAAUGUUUCGGUUUUACAUACAUUCGCAGCGAAUGCCACUCCAGUUUAGGAAAAUAGCAAAUAAGUAUGGAUUCAUAUUAGUUUUUGACAAUUUCAGUGUGUCAUGCAGCGACGGUUGCGAUCUGCAACAAGAAUUCGGUGGAUGUUAAGGACUCUACGAUGUAUAUUUCCAUGUUUCCGUGCAAUGAAUGAGCCAAAUUGAUAGUUGAAAAUGGAAUAAAGGAAGUUGUGUACCUAUCAGAUAAAUAUAAAGACGAAAUACCAACAGUUGCAUCAAAACUGAUAUUUGAUGCAGCAAAAGUAAUAUUUAGGCGGAUUAAACUGAAAAACCCGAAAAUUGUGAUAAGCUUUUCCGAUAUCAAUGCUGUCAGUAUGGAUAUAGAUUAUAGAGAAAAUAUAUAACAAUACAUAUUUGUAUUAAACUUUUAGACAAUU